rnacentral:rRNA from 1 species
GACAGAGGGUGCAAACGUUGUUCGGAAUUACUGGGCGUAAAGCGAGUGUAGGCGGUUUGGUAAGUCGGAUGUGAAAGCCCCGGGCUCAACCCGGGAAGUGCACUCGAUACUGCCAAGCUAGAGUAUCGGAGAGGUUGGUGGAAUUCUCGGUGUAGAGGUGAAAUUCGUAGAUAUCGAGAGGAACACCGGUGGCGAAGGCGGCCAACUGGACGAAUACUGACGCUGAGACUCGAAAGCGUGGGGAGCAAACAGGAUUAGAUACCCCCGUAGUCC